rnacentral:rRNA from 1 species
UGAAGUUUUCGGAUGGACGUGGAUAAGACUUAGUGGCGGACGGGUGAGUAACACGUGAGCAACCUGCCUUUCAGAGGGGGAUAACAGUUGGAAACGACUGCUAAUACCGCAUAACGUUGUUUGUGGGCAUCCAUGGACAACCAAAGGAGCAAUCCGCUGAAAGAUGGGCUCGCGGCCGAUUAGCUAGUUGGCGGGGUAACGGCCCACCAAGGCGACGAUCGGUAGCCGGACUGAGAGGUUGAUCGGCCACAUUGGGACUGAGACACGGCCCAGACUCC